GCUGGAAUAGCUCAGUCGUGGGAGCGUGAGACUAUCAACCUUGGGGUCGUGGGUUCGAGUCCCACGUUGGGCG